CUCUCUGAAGAUCACGUUUGAAUUCACAACAUCAUCAAAUCUCACCCGUUUUGAUUCUCUUCAUCCUCUGAUCGGGAUUGGGAUGUCCGUGUACUUUAUCAAAUCCCUAUUAUCAAAUCCCUGUUGAAAUUCCAUCGCUUCAUUCUCCGCUGUGGUUGAACCACAACUGAAACUUUUUCCUCUCUCUCUCGCUCUCCUCGCUCUGGAUUGUGCGGAGCUUUCAGAUUUCAAUUUAUUUCUGAAGAAGCUCAAGACAGAACUGCAAUAGCGAUGAUUUCAAUUGAUGUAUCUGGGCAUUAAUUUCAUUCUUUUAAAGGUCGGAAAAGAAGAAUGGUGGAGAUGCAGAUCGUAACCAGCUAAAAAUGAGAUCAAUAAGGUUUGUUUUGGAUUGCUCUCCAAAAGCUUGCUGAUCAGUUUCUACUAAUUUCAGAUAUCUACUGGAAG